rnacentral:lncRNA from 1 species
CUUUUUCAUCAUUGAAAAUGUGAAAACUGACUACUAGUACAGUUUUGUGUCACUGAAUUGAUUUUUCUUUCUUUCUUUCUUUUUUUUGAGGUGCUGGUAAUCAAAACACAUGUUAGGCAUGUGUUCUACCUCUAAGCUAUCCCCCGGCCUUUUUUGUUUUGGUACCAGGGACUGAACUCAGGGGGAACUUAACCACUGAGUACAUUCCCAGCCCUUUUCUGUAUUUUAUUUAAAGACAGGGUCUCAAUAAUUUGCUUAGGGCCUCACUAUGUUGCUGAAGCUGGCUUUGAACUCGGAACCCUCCUAGCUCAGCCUCUAGAGCCACUGGGAUUAUAGGCACAUGCCACUGUACCUGGCUUUUUCUUUUGUUUUUAAAAAUUAUUAUUAUUGGGACUGGGGAUGUGGCUCAGUGGUAAAGUGUUUGCCUAGCAUGCAGGAGACCCUGGGUUUGAUCCUCAGCACCACAAAAAAAAUUUUUUAAAUUAUUAUUAUUAUUACUUUGUGGUACUGGGAGUUUAUCUUGGGGUGCUCUACCAUGAAGCUGCAUCCUCAGCCUAUUGAUUGAUUGAUUGAUUGAUUGGCAGGAUCUACUAAGUUGCCAGUGCUGGCCUCAAAUUUGUGAUUCACCUGCCUUGGUCUUCCUUGCUUGGAUUAAAGGUGUGCACCACAGUGCCUUUUUGGGGGGUUGGAGGGGAUUGGCUGGAGAUUAAACCCAGGGACACUUUACCACUGAGUUACAUACCCAGAUCUUUUUUCGAUUUAUUUUGAGACAGGGUCUCACUGAGUUGCUGAGCAUCUCACUAAGUUGAUGAGGCUAGCCUCAAACUUGUGCCUCCCUCAGUGUUCCAAGUAGCUGGGAUUAUAAGUGUGCUCACUAUACCAGGCACCACUGCCUGUCUUAUGC